rnacentral:rRNA from 1 species
AGUACGGCGAGUGAGCGGCAAAAGCUCAAAUUUGAAAUCUGGUACCUCUGGUGCCCGAGUUGUAAUUUGUAGAAGGUAAUCUUGGGAGUGGGCCUUGUCUAUGUUCCUUGGAACAGGACGUCGAAGAGGGUGAGAAUCCCGUAAGGCGAGGAGACCACAUUCUUUGUAAGAUGCUUUCGAAGAGUCGAGUUGUUUGGGAAUGCAGCUCUAAGUGGGUGGUAAAUUCCAUCUAAAGCUAAAUAUUGGCGAG